rnacentral:rRNA from 1 species
UACAUAGGGUGCGAGCGUUGCCCGGAUUUAUUGGGCGUAAAGGGCGCGUAGGCGGCCACGCACGUCCGUUGUGAAAUCGCCCGGCUCAACUGGGCGGGGUCAGCGGAUACGGUGUGGCUAGAGCAAGCUAGGGGGCAAUGGAAUUCCCGGUGUAGUGGUGGAAUGCGCAGAUAUCAGGAGGAACACCUAAGGCGAAGGCAGCUCGCUGGAACGGUACUGACGCUGAGGCGCGAAAGCGUGGGGAGCAAACAGG